CCCCUGCCUCAUUCAGUGCAAAGGAUGGAGCGUGUUCACUGAAUGGAGUGCUACUGGGCAAGGAGUUUCUUUUGACUGAUUGGGUCAGUGAUGGCUGGAUUGCUUACGGAGGCUGAGAGCUGUAAUGUAUGCACCAUAGUCUGAAAAUGUCCAUGGUCAUCAACAUUUGGAGGAACUCCAUUUUCUGUACUCAGGUUUGGGUCUCCCUGGAAGACUUAAUGGCUGUCUGGGAAACUGGUAAGCUUGUGACAUCAGAGAAACCAGGCAACUGAAACCCGAAGGACUGAGCAGGGUGGUGGUUUUUCACUCAGGCACUUUAAAAGGCAGACUGGCCUUUGUCUCGUACUUCAUUUCAUUCCUGCCUGCCCAGUAUUCAGGGCCAUAUGAUUUACUCAGUGAAUCAUGCUCAGCAGCCGUAUUCACAAGCUGGAAUAAAUUUAUCUUAGUCUGCUGGCCAAUUACACCAACUGACUCCACUAUUGUUUAUUUUCUUCUGUUGCAUCCCUCUUCAGUACUGCUAACAGUGUUCCUUUUGAGCAUGGAUGGUUUUCCUGGCACUCAGGCCUGCCGGCCUGCCAAUCUAAUGGACCAUAUCAGUUAUCUAACUACUUGUAAGGGCUCCAAUUUCAGGACAGCGUGCAGUUGCUGUAAUGAGCUGUUGUGGGCGCGUACCUUUAUUGGCUAGAACGUGUCAUUCUUCCUCAAGUGUAUCUUUUUGAAGCUGUCCCACCCUCUGGUGCAUAGGGGGCUACAGGGCCUGCCACAACGAGCUGAUGCAUGUAUGUGGCAAAAAGUAUAGUGAGAUGGUGUAGUGUAGGGCAUAGCUAGUUCAGUGUAGGAUGUGAGACUCCUGCUGUUGGCUGGGCUGUCAGCACAAAACGUGCAGACAGAAAGAGGAGCCCCCUUCUGUCGCCUCCAAAAUGUUCAGACGCUCCAUUUGUCCGUGAGCCUGAGAGCCAUUGUGCAAAUCUGAGUGGCAAGGGGGCCAUUACAGUGAACAGAAUUGCGGGUGAAGUUGAGGCACUUGUUAUGCCAAAUGAUGUUGGAAGACUAGAGAUCUGCAGCAGGGAAUUUGCUGUCUAUGCGUAUUGUUAAAUGCCUCAAAAACUUCAUUAACCCAGAGUUAAGGUUGCCCAGUGGUGCCCUGUGCCCUUCCCGAAUGUGGAGAAUGGCUAACUUAAACCUCUGGAAGCCAGCAGGUACAAAGUUAAGGUACAUGUCACCCCUGUAAUGCAGCCUUAACUCUGUCCUCUUUGAACGAUGCCCCAACCUACCGGGAACACACACUCCCUACCACUCUACCCUUACAGAUGCUGUUGGAACACUUUGAUAACAGAGCACAUAAGCAUAGUAGGGUAACGUCUAACACCUUCUCUUGCUGAGGCAAAUUUGGGUUUAGGUCAGGCAUGGCAAACAGCAGAUGCCUACACCUGGCCUGCAUUCAACCACGGAGCAUACUCCACUCAAACCACCCCAGAAAUGCAAAAUGUUACCAUUCUUUCCCUGAGCCCUAGAGACCACUGUCAUGUAUGCCGCCAGACUGCUGAUAGUCCCCAUGGCAGGAAGACACUCCUGUGCACAUCUGCAGUCACAACCCACAAAACUCGGCAAUAAAAUAAGGCAAACUUGAUCCUUCAAGUUACUUGAGCACUUUUCUUCACAUCAUAGCCACAGCUCUGCCAAACUAUUCCACCUAAUCCUGCUUCCAUUCAAUGCAGCUACACCUAACACAGUGAAUGCAGCUGGAGUGCAUGCAGAUAAAUCUGGAAUUUAUAUCUUUGGAACACAACACAAAAACUGGCACAUUCUCUUAGUCCUUCCUCCUGUCUACAUAUUACAGAUAGAUUGAUUUUAAACUCCCAUUGAAUCCAUUUCACUCUUUUACUGAUAAUGUGAGAGAUUUGUACCAAGAUCCAUGGUAGAUUUGUGGAGCAACUCAAGGUUUAGUAAAGUUAUUGCAUUUAGCAUCACUCAGUGGGGAAAACUGUUGCUGUCUUUUGUUUGAUUCCCACCAUUUCUUCCCCUUGUCUGUUUGGCAGUAUGCAUGUGUAAUUAUAUGUGAAAAUGAAGCAUGUAUUUUGCAUGAUCGUUUACCUAGCUGUCUUUUCGAAAAUCUGACCCUUAAGUGUCACUAUUGGGUUUCAGAGUCAGCCCCGCUUUGAGAUGAAUGGGGGAGUUCGUAGCUCUGAACCAUUGCUUCUCCCCAUUGGACAGCCUUAAUUCUGUUCACACUUGGAAGGUUAUCUUUGCUACGAGAAGGGCCAGAAACUUACUUGAAAAAAAUGAAAAUGGAAUUCUGCAACAUCUUGACUCUGUCAUGAGCCCCAGAUAGUAAACUGGGCUGGUCAUUUUGACACCCCUCCACUUGCCUGUUCAUGACCAUAUAAAGAAGUCUGGCUGUUCCAGCUGUGGCUUAACACGUGGAUCUGUGACUUCUUUGAUAAAUUUUGAUAGAAAGAGCCAUCAGUUAACACAGUGAGUGAGCACCCUGCCUCCACCCUCGCCACACAACGUUGUUUGCAAAUGGAACCCCCGUGGAGCUUUCCUUGGUUCCUAGGUGCCUGCUAGUAACUGAGGCAGAGAGACGCUGUCCCUGGGACACAGCGGGGUCUUGGGCAGACUUAGAGUCCCAGAUACGAGGCAAUCAAGUGGGAGAAAGGGGAGAAGCUAGUUCUGCCGGCUUUGAGGGAGUUUUUGCCGCCUGUGCUUGGAUGGCCACCAGACCGCUUGCUUAAAGGAGGAAGAGAGAGAGAGAGAAGGAUUAAAACAAGGAUGAUUGAUGGGUUAAGCCUAGGGAACGGAAUAAGCCUAACUUAUGAGGAAGGGUCUCAUGACAGGGCAGCCCCUGAGAAGCCAUGUUGUGAGGAGAGAGAAGCCACGUACAUAGAGAGGAGCUAGCUACAGAAGGGAAAAUGUGUUUUUUGGUGAGCUAAAGAGUCCCAUGACAGCAUGCAGGGUUACCCUGAAAACUGGCCUCUGGGUCGCUGGCAACAAUGUUCCUAAACUUGUUCUAGUUCCUGUUGAUGGUAGCUCUCAGUCUAUAGGUUUCAGCUGGGAAAGCUCCCAACUAGUUAAGGACUAGAUUAGUUCCUUAGCUCUCUAGCUAAAGCAGUUACCACAUGGGAAGAAAUGCUUCUUGCUGCUAGAUCAGGAUCUCCUGCGUGUUUUGAUCUACAGUUAGGCUUUUAUAGAAGAAGAAAUAGGGAUUUAGGACAUUUAGAGUUAUUUUGGAUCGGGUCUGUGCCUGUUCCCUGAGUACCUCUGUGGGGAGAGGUACCUCAGAGGCAGAAGCUCUUUUCCACUUUUUGUAAUGCAAAAUUCUAUAAGCCCAGCAUGGGGUAGUGUGGACCUUGACCCCAUCAGCCCCCUCCUACAGCUGCUGAGGGAACCAGGCCAUGAUCUGAACCGGAGGAUCAUCCAAGUCACAGCGUUUGAGUGCAUCAACCCUUAGGUAAGUAGUCAGAGCCAUUGUCUGGAAGAUACCUAUCCACUGACUGUGUCCUAAAGUGGUGGGAUACUUUGCUCUCCACUACUAUCAAAUACACCAACCUCACCAGCCAGCCAGGGCCCCAACACAGUAUGUGUACCGACAGGACAUUAUUUUUCUCUGCUCUAAGUCACGGGGUUAGGCACUUAUGACCCUAAAAGUAUUCGUUUGCAUUGUUAAUUAAUGUUCACCUUUUGUUCAAUACAAUUACUCAGUCUGAUAUACUGUGUGUUUCUGUUAUUCCUUGCGAGUCUCCAUAUAUGAGGUGGCCGGAUCAGGAUUAGACAGUGGUUAGAAUUUUUUCCCUUCUAAGCAGCACCCUGGCACUUUUGCCAGGAAGGCAUGCAGGAAGAGGCACCACCAAGUGAUUGUGUAUCAGGACAAGUGAAAGAAAUCAUUGAAAAGGGCAGUGUGAGGAAGUAGAAUCACUGCUACAUUCACUGGGAGGUUGGUAAUACGACGCCCAAUGGCCCAUUGACGACAUUGGUAUGUUAGUGAAUUUGCACAAAACACAGAGCACGAAAAACAUCAACAUUUAAGAGAAGCACUAUGUGAAGGUUGUUGUCUUGCUCCUCUCCUUUCAACCACCAGCAAGCUCAUGGAAAGAGCGCUACUGAUACCAUCGAAGACAUCCUCCCAGCAGAGAAAGGUGGGAUUUCUCCUGAAGAGGAACUGCUGUGACCAAGUAACUUCACUUACUGGCCACAUUGAGGCAGGAUUCCAACGUGAAUUGAAAAUAGGGAUCACCCUUGUUGAUCUGUCCUGGGCAUAUAACACUGGGCCUCUUCCUCAAGAUCUCCCAUGUCAUUCACUGCUGGCGAAUGAUCUGCCUCUUGGUGGCAAUGAGUGGGGACCGUUGCUUUAAGGUACACCUGAAUGGCCAGAGCAGUAAACCAAGACCUCUUAAGUCGGGCAUCCCUCAGGGCUCAGUCCUGGCCCUGAUACUUUUUAAUCUAUGCACCGUGGAUAUACCAGCGACAGAAUCAAGGAAAUUCAGGGAUGCGGAUGACAUUUCCCUAACUGUUCAGCAUACAAGCGUUCAUAUCAUCAACUGCAGCCUAACCUGAGAUCUUAGCACAAUUACUGAUUAUUUCCAAAGCUGGAAACUUAGGCCUAACCCCCCAAAAAUCCAUGGUAACCGCUUUCCAUCAGAACAAUAAAAUGGAUAACACCAAACUCGAUGUGCAGUUCUGUGGUGAGAGCGUCAGCCACGAGGCUAACCCAAGGUAUUUUAGCGUUACACUGGACUGGAGUUUGACCUUUCAACAAAAAGAAAAGGAGUACUUGUGGCACCUUAGAGACUAACAAAUUUAU